GACGAACGCUGGCGGCGUGCUUAACACAUGCAAGUCGAACGGAAAGGCCCUGCUUUUGUGGGGUGCUCGAGUGGCGAACGGGUGAGUAACACGUGAGUAACCUGCCCUUGACUUUGGGAUAACUUCAGGAAACUGGGGCUAAUACCGGAUAGGAGCUCCUGCUGCAUGGUGGGGGUUGGAAAGUUUCGGCGGUUGGGGAUGGACUCGCGGCUUAUCAGCUUGUUGGUGGGGUAGUGGCUUACCAAGGCUUUGACGGGUAGCCGGCCUGAGAGGGUGACCGGCCACAUUGGGACUGAGAUACGGCCCAGACUCCUACGGGAGGCAGCAGUGGGGAAUAUUGCACAAUGGGCGGAAGCCUGAUGCAGCAACGCCGCGUGCGGGAUGACGGCCUUCGGGUUGUAAACCGCUUUCGCCUGUGACGAAGCGUGAGUGACGGUAAUGGGUAAAGAAGCACCGGCUAACUACGUGCCAGCAGCCGCGGUGAUACGUAGGGUGCGAGCGUUGUCCGGAUUUAUUGGGCGUAAAGGGCUCGUAGGUGGUUGAUCGCGUCGGAAGUGUAAUCUUGGGGCUUAACCCUGAGCGUGCUUUCGAUACGGGUUGACUUGAGGAAGGUAGGGGAGAAUGGAAUUCCUGGUGGAGCGGUGGAAUGCGCAGAUAUCAGGAGGAACACCAGUGGCGAAGGCGGUUCUCUGGGCCUUUCCUGACGCUGAGGGGCGAAAGCGUGGGGAGCGAACAGGCUUAGAUACCCUGGUAGUCCACGCUGUAAACGGUGGGUACUAGGUGUGGGGUCCAUUCCACGGGUUCCGUGCCGUAGCUAACGCUUUAAGUACCCCGCCUGGGGAGUACGGCCGCAAGGCUAAAACUCAAAGGAAUUGACGGGGCCCCGCACAAGCGGCGGAGCAUGCGGAUUAAUUCGAUGCAACGCGUAGAACCUUACCUGGGUUUGACAUGGAUCGGGAGCGCUCAGAGAUGGGUGUGCCUCUUUUGGGGUCGGUUCACAGGUGGUGCAUGGCUGUCGUCAGCUCGUGUCGUGAGAUGUUAGGUUAAGUCCCGCAACGAGCGCAACCCUUGUUCACUGUUGCCAGCACGUUAUGGUGGGGACUCAGUGGAGACCGCCGGGGUCAACUCGGAGGAAGGUGGGGAUGACGUCAAGUCAUCAUGCCCCUUAUGUCCAGGGCUUCACGCAUGCUACAAUGGCUGGUACAGAGAGUGGCGAGCCUGUGAGGGUGAGCGAAUCUCGGAAAGCCGGUCUCAGUUCGGAUUGGGGUCUGCAACUCGACCUCAUGAAGUCGGAGUCGCUAGUAAUCGCAGAUCAGCAACGCUGCGGUGAAUACGUUCCCGGGGCU
rnacentral:rRNA from 1 species